rnacentral:rRNA from 1 species
GACGAACGCUGGCGGCGUGCUUAACACAUGCAAGUCGAGCGGAAAGGCCACUUUGGUGGUACUCGAGCGGCGAACGGGUGAGUAACACGUGAGUAAUCUGCCCCUGGCUUUGGGAUAGCCACCGGAAACGGUGAUUAAUACCGGAUACGACCACUUCUCGCAUGGGAUGGUGGUGGAAAGUUUUUUCGGCCAGGGAUGUGCUCGCGGCCUAUCAGCUUGAUGGUGAGGUAAUGGCUCACCAUGGCUUCGACGGGUAGCCGGCCUGAGAGGGUGACCGGUCACACUAGGACUGAGACACGGCCCAGACUCCUACGGGAGGCAGCAGUGGGGAAUAUUGGACAAUGGGCGGAAGCCUGAUCCAGCAACGCCGCGUGAGGGAUGACGGCCUUCGGGUUGUAAACCUCUUUCAGCAGGGACGAAGCGCAAGUGACGGUACCUGCAGAAGAAGCACCGGCCAACUACGUACCAGCCGCCGCAGUAA